rnacentral:rRNA from 1 species
GUGCCAGCAGCCGCGGUAAUACGGAGGGGGCUAGCGUUGUUCGGUAUUACUGGGCGUAAAGCGCGCGUAGGCGGACAUUUAAGUCAGGGGUGAAAUCCCGGGGCUCAACCCCGGAACUGCCCUUGAUACUGGGUGUCUUGAGUUCGAGAGAGGUGAGUGGAAUUCCGAGUGUAGAGGUGAAAUUCGUAGAUAUUCGGAGGAACACCAGUGGCGAGGGCGGCUCACUGGCUCGAUACUGACGCUGAGGUGCGAAAGUGUGGGGAGCAAACAGGAUUAGAAACCCGUGUAGUCC